AUGGCAGCGCGCCGGGCAGUCCCUCGUCUCGGGACGUUGCGUGGCACCUCGGGGUUUGUGCAAAGUCAGCGUGGCCUGGAGCUGAAGCCGACAUCGGCUGCAGAGGGAGAAGCGAGAGCUGGAGCAGAAACCACGCUUCUGCUGAGGCCAGGGACAGAGAGCGCCCGGUCUGAGGGAAACUUCCUGGACUCGGGUCAGCCCCUCCUGGGGUUUCUGCUGCCACUGUAAGCCUGGAAGUCCCUGGGAGGCAGUGCCGUCGCCUUUGACAAAAUGAGACAAAACCAGGGGCCCGCGUGUGGCCCAGCAGAGUAAGCCACAGCUUGCGAGGCCGACAUUCUGUAUCAGAGCACCGGUUUGAGUUCCAGGUGCUCCAGUUCCAAUCCAGCUCUUUGCUUAUGUGCCUGGGAAAGCAGUGGAAGACGGCCCAAGUGCUUGGCCCUGUACCCAUGUGGGAGACCUGGAAGAAGCUCCUGGCUUCGGAUAGGCCCGCUCUAGCUGUUGUAGCCAUUUGGGGAGUGAACCAGCAGAUGGAGGACCUUUCUGUCUCUCCCUCUCUCUCUCUGUAACUCUGCUUUCCAAAUAAAUAAAACAUCUCCUAGGCA
rnacentral:lncRNA from 1 species